UAGGGAAUCUUCCGCAAUGGGCGAAAGCCUGACGGAGCAACGCCGCGUGAGUGAUGAAGGUCUUCGGAUCGUAAAACUCUGUUAUUAGGGAAGAACAAAUGUGUAAGUAACUAUGCACGUCUUGACGGUACCUAAUCAGAAAGCCACGGCUAACUACGUGCCAGCAGCCGCGGUAAUACGUAGGUGGCAAGCGUUAUCCGGAAUUAUUGGACGUAAAGCGCGCGUAGGCGGUUUUUUAAGUCUGAUGUGAAAGCCCACGGCUCAACCGUGGAGGGUCAUUGGAAACUGGAAAACUUGGGUGCAGAAGAGGAAAGUGGAAUUCCAUGUGUAGCGGUGAAAUGCGCAGAGAUAUGGAGGAACACAAGUGGCGAAGGCGACUUUCUGGUCUGUAACUGACGCUGAUGUGCGAAAGCGUGGGGAUCAAACAGG
rnacentral:rRNA from 1 species